UUGAAAUAAACCUGAUGGGUUGCUGCUGGUUCUUCAGGGAGCAUGUGCACGCCUUGUCAUCUUUAUAUCUCCACCUGUGCACCCUUUGUAGACCUUUCCAGGUCUAUGUUGCUUCAUAUACCCUGAUGUAUGUUAAUAGAAUGUUGUGCCUAUAAAAAUAUAUA
rnacentral:misc_RNA from 1 species